GACGAGAGACUUCGGGUCUCUGUGGCGAACGGGUGAGUAACACGUAGGGAACCUGCCCGCGCACCGGGAAUACGCUCUGGAAACGGAGAACAAAUCCCGAUGUACAGGAAGGAGGCAUCUUCUUUCUGUGAAACAUCCUUUCGGGGAUGGGGCGCGGAUGGACCUGCGGUGCAUUAGUUGGUUGGCGGGGUAAAGGCCCACCAAGACGAUGAUGCAUAGCCGGCCUGAGAGGGCGGACGGCCACAUUGGGACUGAGACACGGCCCAGACUCCUGCGGGAGGCAGCAGUAGGGAAUUUUCGUCAAUGGGCGCAAGCCUGAACGAGCGAUGCCGCGUGAGUGAAGAAGGCCUUCGGGUCGUAAAGCUCUGUUGCGGGGGAAAAAAGGCAGCAUCAGGAAAUGGGUGCUGACUGAUGGUGCCCCGCCAGAAAGUCACGGCUAACUACGUGCCAGCAGCCGCGGUAAUACGUAGGUGGCGAGCGUUAUCCGGAAUGAUUGGGCGUAAAGGGUGCGCAGGCGGUCCUGCAAGUCUGGAGUGAAACGCAUGAGCUCAACUCAUGCAUGGCUUUGGAAACUGGAGGACUGGAGAGCAGGAGAGGGCGGUGGAACUCCAUGUGUAGCGGUAAAAUGCGUAGAUAUAUGGAAGAACACCAGUGGCGAAGGCGGCCGCCUGGCCUGUUGCUGACGCUGAGGCACGAAAGCGUGGGGAGCAAAUAGGAUUAGAUACCCUAGUAGUCCACGCCGUAAACGAUGAGGACCAAG
rnacentral:rRNA from 1 species